rnacentral:sRNA from 1 species
ACUCAACGCCAAUUCUUUAAAAUGGGCGAAUCACCGCUACUAAAGCAAGCUGCCCCGGGCAGAUCCUUGAACAGCGGGUUAGCUCAAAACUUGUCAAUACGAGUUU